GUCUCCUAAAAGAGAGCUGUUUAAAGGAAAACGUUUGACUAACUCAAAGACAAUUUCCACGCCUCCCCUGCCUGACUGCAGAGGCAGUUUUGAAUUUAGGAGCGCCAAGAUGGCAGCGGCAAACCCUGGCGGCUCUCCGGUGGAAAAGACCCGUCACCUUCUGGGAG